rnacentral:rRNA from 1 species
AUUGAACGCUGGCGGCAGGCCUAACACAUGCCAGUCGAGCGGAUGAAGGGAGCUUGCUCCUGGAUUCAGCGGCGGACGGGUGAGUAAUGCCUAGGAAUCUGCCUGGUAGUGGGGGAUAACGUCCGGAAACGGGCGCUAAUACCGCAUACGUCCUGAGGGAGAAAGUGGGGGAUCUUCGGACCUCACGCUAUCAGAUGAGCCUAGGUCGGAUUAGCUAGUUGGUGGGGUAAAGGCCUACCAAGGCGACGAUCCGUAACUGGUCUGCGAGGAUGAUCAGUCACACUGGAACUGAGACACGGUCCAGACUCCUACGGGAGGCAGCAGUGGGGAAUAUUGGACAAUGGGCGAAAGCCUGAUCCAGCCAUGCCGCGUGUGUGAAGAAGGUCUUCGGAUUGUAAAGCACUUUAAGUUGGGAGGAAGGGCAGUAAGUGAAUACCUUGCUGUUUUGACGGUACCAACAGAAUAAGCACCGGCUAACUUCGUG